GUGCUCACUUCAGCAAUACACACUCUAAAAUUGGAAUGAUAUUGAGAAGAUUAGCGUGACCUUUGUGCUAAGAAGGUACACAGAUUCAUAAAAUGUUCCAUAUUUUA